AAUCAACGCUGGUGGCGUGCCUCAGACAUGCAAGUCGAACGAUUAAAGCUCUCUUCGGAGAGUGCAUAGAGUGGCGCACGGGUGAGUAACACGUAAGUAAUCUACCUUCGAGUGGGGAAUAACGUCCGGAAACGGGCGCUAAUACCGCAUAAUGCAGCGGCAUCAUAAGAUGACAGUUGUUAAAGAUUUAUCGCUUGAGGAGGAGCUUGCGGCAGAUGAGCUAGUUGGGAAGGUAACGGCUUACCAAGGCUACGAUCUGUAACCGGUCUUAGAGGACGGUCGGUCACACUGACAAUGAAUAACGGGCCAGACUCCUACGGGAGGCAGCAGUCGGGAAUUUUGGGCAAUGGGCGAAAGCCUGACCCAGCAACGCCGCGUGAAGGAUGAAGUAUUUCGGUAUGUAAACUUCGAAAGAAUAGGAAGAAUUAAUGACGGUACUAUUUAUAAGGUCCGGCUAACUACGUGCCAGCAGCCGCCGCAGAAA
rnacentral:rRNA from 1 species